rnacentral:rRNA from 1 species
UGAGGAAUAUUGCACAAUGGGCGAAAGCCUGAUGCAGCAACGCCGCGUGCGGGACGAAGGCCUUCGGGUCGUAAACCGCUUUUCUGAGGGACGAGCAAGGACGGUACCUCAGGAAUAAGUCUCGGCUAACUACGUGCCAGCAGCCGCGGUAAAACGUAGGAGGCGAGCGUUAUCCGGAUUUACUGGGCGUAAAGCGCACGCAGGUGGCUUAGCAAGUCGGACAUGAAAGCUCCUGGCUUAACUGGGAGAGGUGGUUCGAAACUGCUGAGCUUGAGGUUGGGAGAGGGACGUGGAAUUCCCGGUGUAGUGGUGGAAUGCGUAGAUAUCGGGAGGAACACCAGUGGCGCAAGCGGCGUCCUGGCCCACACCUGACGCUGAGGUGCGAAAGCGUGGGUAGCAACAGGAUUAGAUACCCUGGUAGUCCACGCUGUAAACGAUGUCAACUAGGUGUCGGCAGUUUUACACUGGCGGUGCCGAAGCUAACGCGUUAAGUUGACCGUCC